GAUAGUCUGCUGUCACAGCCCUAUCCUAGUACUUCAAACGGUCGCCCGAUACUGCUUCCCUUACCAAGAAACUUUACAAAAGUGGGUAAAACUACCGUACUCUACCUUAGUAUUGCUGAGUAGGUCGUGACUAGUAUGUGGCUUUCAUGUGGUCUCGGAUUGGUCCCAUCCCGACAGUCCUUCCCAGUACUGCUUCCUUCCUGCGGCCAUUUUGUGAGCAGCGCCAUUACUAACAUCUGAAGAGUGUAGAGAGAAAAAAAAAAACCUAAAGAAAAAAAAACAAACAGCUUUUAGAGCUGUCACCGAGUGGUGUGUGUGUAUGUAUGUGUGAGCGAGCGCUCUCCUUCCUUCGGGUCGCCUCCCCUUUAAAGAAGAAAAACAAACCCCGAAGUGAUCAAUUCAAAGGUGCCGUAAUAUCCGUCGGUAAAUAUGUCUGAAGAGCAGCACGCCGGAGAGGAGCCGGUGUUGAAGGAGGAUAAGGAGGUGAAGAAGGAGGAUGAGGAGGCGAGCAGCGAGGAAGUGCAGACGGCGACCGGCGAAAGCAUAGCGGGGGAAUCCGAGGGAGCCAAGAUCGAUGCGAGUAGGAACGAGGAAGAUGAAGGGAACGACCCUGAUGCCUGCAGUGAAACAUCAAGAAAAAUGUUUGUUGGAGGGCUGAGCUGGGAUACCACAAAGAAGGACCUGAAAGAUUAUUUUUGCAAGUUUGGAGAGGUUGUAGACUGCACAUUAAAACUGGAUCCCAUCACUGGACGGUCCAGAGGAUUCGGCUUUGUAUUAUUUAAAGAGGCUGACAGUGUGGAUAAGGUUAUGGCGCAAAAAGAACACAAGUUGAAUGGAAAAGUAAUUGACCCCAAAAAGGCCAAGGCUAUGAAAACGAAAGAACCAGUGAAGAAGGUCUUUGUUGGAGGCCUUUCCCCCGAUACCCCUGAAGAGAAAAUUAGGGAAUAUUUUGGUGGUUAUGGAGAGGUGGAGUCAAUAGAACUGCCAAUGGAAAACAAGACGAAUAAAAGGCGAGGGUUCUGCUUUAUUACAUUCAAAGAGGAAGAACCUGUAAAGAAGAUAAUGGAAAAGAAAUACCACAAUGUUGGGCUCAGUAAAUGUGAAAUCAAAGUUGCCAUGUCCAAGGAGCAGUAUCAACAGCAGCAACAACAUUGGGGAGGCAGGGGCAGCUUUGCCAUGAGAACUCGAGGAAGAGGAGGUCCAAACCAAAAUUGGAACCAGGGAUAUGGCAACUACUGGAAUCAAGGUUAUGGCAAUUAUAACUACGGCUACAACAACCAAGGCUAUGGAGGAUAUGGAGGCUAUGAUUACUCUGGUUAUAACAACUACUACGGAUAUGGUGACUACAGCACCUUCCUGCUGUAUCCUUUUUUUCUGGACUGUUGAAGGCUUAAGUGUGUCAAAAACAAACUGACAGUGACGGCUUUUCUACAUUGAGGGAGACAAUUUCAACGAUUCAAGGUGGCACUAUAGAAUGGAUUCAGAGCAUUUGGUGCAGUGGAAGUCUCAUUUUGGAAUGUUCAGCCAUUGGUUGUUGUGCUUAAGGGUACCUGGAACAGAUCAGCAGAGUGGUUAUGGCAAAACCCCAAGGCGAGGUGGUCACCAAAACAGUUACAAGCCAUACUAAAAUAUAAUCCCUACUUUUAACAAGCAGGUAUGUUGAAACAUUGCUUAUAGCAACACUUCAUUAAUAUAAAUUUCAUUUUAAUUAUUAUAUUGACCUUUUGUUUAACGUAUUAUAAUGUUGAAUUUUUUCUUUAAAGUUUCACAGCACCCAGACGUGCUUUCUGUAAUGGUAACUUAGAGACUUCUUUUGGAGUUAUGUACCACUGGUGCACUUAAGCGUAUGGCUUUUGCCCUUUUGUAACUGUAAAGUUAACAGGUAAAGUACUGCUAAUGGGUACAAAUUAAGGAGUUACAACGAAAGGAAAGAAGAAUGUUGCCUACUAACUCUGAUAUUGUACCUUGUUUGUACCCGCCAGCGGGAACUUCAUUGCAGGCCGUGUGUCGCGCUGACUUCACGAUUCUCAAAGGCCCGCUCAAUGCGGACAGGGUACGAGAUGCUCACGCUCUCGAAUGCUGCCGUUUGGUAUGGUCUCUUCCAACAUCCUGUAUCAGCAUUAGAAAAUACAAUGGAUACUUCAAGCUUUGCCUUCACUUAUUUCUUUGCUUUUUUUAUAUAGACAUAUACAUUAUAAUGUAAUUUUAAUGUAAUUUUUUACAGGCCCCAAGUAAUGCUUAAAUACGACAACUUACUGAAAAAAAUAACUAUUUAUUCUUCUAAGGAUACAGCUUUCUCUGGAUUUUCCAGUGUCAUAAUAUAUUUUAUUCCUAAUCUAUUUGUAAUGCUUGCUUUUCCCCGUUUAUAGCCCUUGUAGCAGUAAUUGCCAGUAGUCCAUGAGCUAAAACCUGUUCUGUGCAUGGAUUUCACUCUUCUGAAGAGAUCCAUAUAAUGUUGUAUACUGUGUAUACGGUUUUGUUUUCUGAGACAAUCAAGUGGAUUAAAUAUGUUCUUCUGAAUAUCAUGAUCAUUUUUUCUAAGUAGUUCAUUCAUAUUUUAAUACUGUGAGAACCAAAAACUUGUCUUAAAUACUUUUUGUAUGUAUGUAUGUAUUUAUUUAUGUAUGUAAGCAUAAUGCAUAUAUAAUAUAAUAUGUUUUGUUUUAGGAGAGCCUAAAGGUCUUGCCCUUUUUAUCAGCUAGUAGGAUUCCCGGCACUUCUGCCGUUUGCUGCACUUCAGGAUUUCUAGCUUAUGGACUAAUUUAUUUAAGCUUUAGUUGUAGAAUUAUGUGUGUGUAUAUAUGUAUAUAUAUAGAAUAUAUAUUUGUCUGUUUUAAAUGUUAAUGGGACAUAUUCAAAAUGUGAUAUUUAGGAAUUCAUACAGAUUUCCAUUGACAAAUAUUAUUUUGUUUUUUUUAGGUGAAGGAGCAGUAUUUUACAUCAGAUAGAAGAUCUCUACGAGGUGGUUAUAGCUAGACUCUGAUAGCAGUUUUUCAGACUUUUUUGUGUUUAAUAUUUAUCUUGUAUGGCUGAAUUAAGUCACUGAUUCAUUGUGCAAUGGCAUUCCUAAAUUUACUUAAAUAUUGCUUUUAUUACUUUUAAUGUGUGGCAACUCCUAGGCUUGAAAUGCAACCAACUUAUGUUUUUUUUUCCUUAAUAUGGUUUAUUGUGAAAAAGUAUUGUUAUGAUAUUGUGGUGAACUGAUGUUCUAAAAUUGUUGGGUUAUUUUUUCUAAAUAAACCUUUUUGUACAAGUA